AGUGAACGCUGGCGGUAGGCCUAACACAUGCAAGUCGAACGGCAGCACAGGAGAGCUUGCUCUCUGGGUGGCGAGUGGCGGACGGGUGAGGAAUACAUCGGAAUCUACUUUUUCGUGGGGGAUAACGUAGGGAAACUUACGCUAAUACCGCAUACGACCUACGGGUGAAAGCAGGGGACCUUCGGGCCUUGCGCGAUUGAAUGAGCCGAUGUCGGAUUAGCUAGUUGGCGGGGUAAAGGCCCACCAAGGCGACGAUCCGUAGCUGGUCUGAGAGGAUGAUCAGCCACACUGGAACUGAGACACGGUCCAGACUCCUACGGGAGGCAGCAGUGGGGAAUAUUGGACAAUGGGCGCAAGCCUGAUCCAGCCAUACCGCGCGGGUGAAGAAGGCCUUCGGGUUGUAAAGCCCUUUUGUUGGGAAAGAAAUCCAGCUGGUUAAUACCCGGUUGGGAUGACGGUACCCAAAGAAUAAGCACCGGCUAACUUCGUGCCAGCCGCCGCGGUAA
rnacentral:rRNA from 1 species